rnacentral:rRNA from 1 species
CACCACAACGGGUGGAGCUUGCGGUUUAAUUGGAUUCAACGCCGGAAAUCUUACCGGGACCGACAGCAAUAUGAAGGCCAGGCUGAAGACUUUGCCGGAUUAGCUGAGAGGUGGUGCAUGGCCGUCGUCAGUUCGUACUGUGAAGCAUCCUGUUAAGUCAGGCAACGAGCGAGACCCACGCCCACAGUUGCCAGCGUACUCUCUGGAGUGACGGGUACACUGUGGGACCGCCGCUGCUAAAGCGGAGGAAGGAAUGGGCAACGGUAGGUCAGUAUGCCCCGAAUAUCCCGGGCUACACGCGAGCUACAAUGGUUGGUACAAUGGGUAUCUACCCCGAAAGGGGACGGGAAUCUCCUAAAACCAAUCUUAGUUCGGAUUGAGGGCUGCAACUCGCCCUCAUGAGGCUGGAAUCCGUAGUAAUCGCGUUUCAACAGAACGCGGUGAAUACGUCCCUGCUCCUU